GAGCGCUGUGGGCUUGUUCUGAAGGCUGAAGUGGUGUCGUGCCUCGUGUGCCGUUUGCCUGAGUUGGGCAGAGGGUUAGUUAGCCGGGUCUGGUGGGUUGGUGCUGCGUCGCUUGUAGCCCCUCCGUCCUCUGUGCCCUGUGCGGGUGCAAGAAUCACGAAGCCUAGGCUUGGCAUGUAACGUAGUGGUGUGGCUCUGUGUCCGCUCUGAUCAGGCUGCCAGUAAUAGGUACGUGGGGCCUGCCCUGUGUUUGUGGGGAUUGCAAUCCUCUGGGGGCGAUAGG